rnacentral:rRNA from 1 species
AUACGGAGGGUGCGAGCGUUGUUCGGAAUCACUGGGCGUAAAGGGCGCGCAGGCGGUCUGUCAAGUCAGAUGUGAAAGCCCACGGCUCAACCGUGGACGUGCAUCUGAAACUGGCAGACUCGAGUACCGGAGGGGAAAGUGGAAUUCCCGGUGUAGAGGUGAAAUUCGUAGAUAUCGGGAGGAAUACCGGAGGCGAAGGCGACUUUCUGGACGGAUACUGACGCUGAGGCGCGAAAGCGUGGGGAGCGAACAGGAUUAGAUACCCUAGUAGUCC